rnacentral:rRNA from 1 species
CGACCGGCGCACGGGUGAGUAACGCGUAUGCAACCUGCCCGUUUCAGCGGGAUAACCCGGAGAAAUCCGGCCUAAUACCGCAUGUGGCCGAGGGGAGGCAUCUUCUUUCGGCCAAAGGAGGCGACUCCGGAGACGGAUGGGCAUGCGUGACAUUAGCUUGUUGGCGGGGUAACGGCCCACCAAGGCGACGAUGCGUAGGGGUUCUGAGAGGAAGGUCCCCCACAUUGGAACUGAGACACGGUCCAAACUCCUACGGGAGGCAGCAG